AACAUUAUUACAAGAGAGCACAUAGAACACAUAACACAUCAUAAGCUAACUAUAUCAACUAUGAAGAUUUAAGAUGAAUGCAAAAUUGGAUUUCCAUUUACCUUACAUGCGUAAUAACGUUGAAGAGUGAAGGAUUUAAGCAAUUGGAGAAUUUGAGUUGUUGAAAAGAUGAAGCUGGAUAAAAAAUUGAAGAAUUAGUUGAAUAGAUGAGGCAAUAAAUCGUAAAAGGAACUGACGAGGAAAUCAAUAAACCGUAUUUGAAACAAAUAUAAAAAAAACAGCAACUAUCUUCAGCCAUGAAAAUAACUAACAGCUAUAGCACGGUAAUGCAUAAUUCCUAAUCUUUUGUUUUGUAGUGGACAGUGCAGUUUGCACUUUAAUAACUAAAAUUCUAAUAUAUGUUUAUUAAUUGAGAUUUAAUAAUCUCAAUAGAUUAUCAUAUAUUCAAUUAGUUAGAUUAGUGGACUUUAGAGGAGUCACAUCCAUUGAUGUAAAGCAAUUGUAUCUUUCAUGACACUACAAUAAAACUUCCUGUUAGCCAUGAUUGUAAAUCUUGAUUACUAACAUUAGACUAAAAAUGGUACCAUGAUGUCAUGUAUAAUAGAAAAAGCAAUGUGAUCAUGUUAAUGAUUAACUUAACAACAACUUAAAUAAUUUUCUCUACUCUCCAAUAAUUACAGCUUCAGUGUCAUAACUUAUGGUCUAAUUUUCUCUACUCUCCAAUAAUUUUCCACCUACAUACAUGUCAACAUACCACUUUCUUAUGCUCUUAGCUUACCAACUAUGACAGUGUUAUAAAUAUAUGGUAGAAAACUUGAUUUGUUGUUAAGCUUAGGGGUAAAAAAAAUAACUUCCACUAAGGUCAGACUUCAACUAUUAUCCAAAUUAGUAUAUGUCAUGCCACUAACUUGUUAGCCUCAGACUCUGAGUGCCCCAACAAAAAGAAAGUGGUCUUCCUUGACCUUUUUGGUUUGAAUUUAUGAGUAAAGUAUGUUUUGUAUAGAAUAAUAUAUGAAGCUGUCAAUUUCAGUUAUUUCUUUGGGGCUUCCACCCUAGGGGAGAAUUUCAUGUUCCCUGCAUUAUACAUAGGAAACAUGAGUUUGGCAAUUCUCUCUAUCAUUUUCUCAAAGUAAUAAACAUAGGAAAUACUCUCAUAUCAUGGGUCUCUUGCUUCUGAAGAACUUCACCAUUAUCUUCCUCCUUAUUUCUUCAUCACUUUUAUCAACUUCUUUUGCAAGUGAGUCUCCUCAGGUUUUAGUCACAUACUCAUAUUGCCAGAGCUAAUGUGGCUCAUUCAACUAAUUAACCUUAGGUGCAUUAUGAUUAGAGAUAGAUAAAUUAGACAUAUAGACAUACAGUAAUUAAUAUCUUACACUGCUUCCUGAUAUUGUGUAUAUUUACAUGGAUCAAUAACAAUGAUAGUGCAGGUGGAGGAUCAAAGUUGAAUAGAAAGGUGAUGAGUGAAGAUGUGGAUCCAAUAAUGAAAGAAGUGAAUGAGGAAGAAAUAAGGAUGAUAGAGGAGAGGGUACUAAGGGUGAAUAGAAGAGAUUAUGGAAGAUAUACACUCUGGUACUAGCACAUAUGUAUAUAUGAGAGUAUAGAUUCUGUCCAAUCAAUAUUUUUGAUUCUACACAUAGCCCUUUAACAAUAUUUUGAUAAAAAGGAAACAACAGUUACCAGAUUAGGAGGAUGAACCUUGCAGAGAUCUUUCACCUAUGACAUAAAUUCUUUUUUCUUUGUGGUUGUCAUUCUUUUAGUAGCAGCUUCCUACAAUGAUAUGUUUUUCAAAUUAAUAUUAGC
rnacentral:lncRNA from 1 species